rnacentral:misc_RNA from 1 species
UGUGUCAGAGUCUCACUCACACCCAGUCAUGAAUUGUGCAAAGUUUCUCCUCCUUUUCAGCCUCGUCACUCUUGUGGCAUUUGGUACAGCUGAGGCAGAUGGUCACACUACGGAGAGUAAUAAGCACAGUGCCACAGAAGACGUAUUUCCGGACUCUGGCCCUCAACACAUCCUCAGGAAGAGGUUCGCGAAGGGUCAUGACGCCAACAAAACCCAUGGAUCCUCCGUUAAGUUCUAGAAACUUCGAGAAUUUCAAGAACGGGAGAGAAGGACGGACGGACGAUAGACAAUUUCUGCGACAAAUGGAAUGAAUGAGGGAAUUGACAUAUAUACGACAAAUAUAUAGAUGGGCAUAGAAGAUUAGAUUAUAUAGAGUGCGGGAUAUUAUAUCGAUGAGAGGGUAGAAUAUUGAAAUUCCUUAUGUAAACAAUAAUGUCAUGUAUUAAUGCACAACGCCACUGUUUUAUUUUCUGUUUCUUGGAAUCCAUUCGUGCAAGUGACUCAGCAUAUGCCCUUCAAUUGCAUGGAAUGGCUAUGAAAACAAAAUAUAGAACGAAUUCUUCAAAACUGAUUUGGUAAAUGUAUCUGAAUCAUAAUCAUAGCUAAAUUAAACAAUAUGCAAAGGUUAAAAGACCAAGGUAAAAUAUAUAAAAGAUGAAUCCUAAA